rnacentral:rRNA from 1 species
UACGGAGGGUGCAAGCGUUGUUCGGAAUUACUGGGCGUAAAGGGCGCGUAGGCGGCCGCCUAAGUCAGACGUGAAAUCCCUCGGCUCAACCGGGGAACUGCGUCUGAUACUGGGUGGCUUGAAUCCGGGAGAGGGAUGCGGAAUUCCAGGUGUAGCGGUGAAAUGCGUAGAUAUCUGGAGGAACACCGGUGGCGAAGGCGGCAUCCUGGACCGGCAUUGACGCUGAGGCGCGAAAGCCAGGGGAGCAAACGGG